rnacentral:rRNA from 1 species
UGGGGAAUAUUGGACAAUGGGCGCAAGCCUGCUCCAGCCAUGCCGCGUGAGUGAUGAAGGCCCUAGGGUUGUAAAGCUCUUUCACCGGUGAAGAUAAUGACGGUAACCGGAGAAGAAGCCCCGGCUAACUUCGUGCCAGCAGCCGCGGUAAUACGAAGGGGGCUAGCGUUGUUCGGAUUUACUGGGCGUAAAGCGCACGUAGGCGGUCUAUUAAGUCAGGGGUGAAAUCCCGGGGCUCAACCCCGGAACUGCCUUUGAUACUGGUAGUCUUGAGUUCGAGAGAGGUGAGUGGAAUUCCGAGUGUAGAGGUGAAAUUCGUAGAUAUUCGGAGGAACGCCAGUGGCGAAGGCGACUCACUGGCUCGAUACUGACGCUGAGGUGAGAAAGCGGGGGGAGCAAACAGG